CCUUUACCUGUCAAAAUUGUAUUUAAUUCUUUAAGUUAAACAAAAUGUCGUUUCUAAACUGGGAUAUAUCUUGUAUGAUUCUUCAAUGAUUUGACAGGAACAAUAAGAUCUUUAUUUAGUAUGUAAUACAAUAGUGAUGAAACAAUCUACAGAUUCUGAUUUAAUAUCGACUUGUUUCCUCGACUGCCUUGGGAGACCAUUUUAUUUCAUAAUUUCGUCUAAUAAUGGAUAAUGCACGAAUUGGGGUUAAAAAGAUUCUAGAAUGAUCCAGACUAUCUGUUUUAUACAUUGCCAAAUAUUGCAUAUGUUGAUGUUUAAAUAUUUUGAUAUUUAACUAUAUCCUCCGAAAAGACGCACAAUAAAGGUAUUUUACUUGUAUAUGUUUCGGUAUUAUAAAUCAAAACAGACAUAUCAAAUAUAGUGAGAGUAUCUAGUGUUGAUCUAUUCAGUGGACUCAACGAAAAAAUUAUGGGCAGCGCACCUCUUCUAUGCAAAUCAUUGUUAACGAAGUCCGUAUAGAGUUAACAUGUACAAUCAUAAGGUACUAAUCGACAUGUGUGGAUGAUUCAACAUUGUAUUCAUAUUAUUUAUCAAAAAACUAUCAUACAAAUGGUAUGACAGAAGGGCUGAAUACUAAGAUACUGAUAUCCCCGGGGACGAAAAUUCUAACGGCCGUGGACUCGACCAAGUGGUUGCAAAAUCUCAUGAAAGAUAACUUAUUAAAAGUUGGUACGCCAGACUUUCGUUUUGUCUUCAUAAGACCAAUCCGCUGAUGCAGACAUGAUAGCAUUACGUUCUAAUAUUAUCAGCUUAACUUCUGUCUAGCAGUCGUGAAAAGUGAGAAAAACGAUGGUCUUCAAUACCCAAAGUUAUUUUGUGAUUAGACGCUAAAAGUCAUAAAGAUAUUUUCUGUCAAAAAAAUUGUCUCGUUCGAAUGUGAUUAAUACCAAACACUGAACAUGCGUAAUGAUCACUUUAUAAUCAUAUGUUUUUAUACAAUCGAUACAUUAUAUUAUACAAUUGUGAA